UUGACAGAUUAUUGUAUUCGACUGUAUUCACGGCAUGAAAUAGGGGAUUACACUAUUUUUAAAACGGAAAGUGAAUCAAUUAACAUAAUAGAUUCCU
rnacentral:pre_miRNA from 1 species